rnacentral:rRNA from 1 species
GACAGAGGCCUCGAGCGUUAGGCAGAAUCACUGGGCUUAAAGCGUGUGUAGGCGGGCCCGUAAGUGUCUUGUGAAAUCCCACGGCUCAACCGUGGAACUGCUGGGCAUACUGCGGGUCUUGGGCCAACUAGGGGCAGCCGGAACAAGCGGUGGAGCGGUGAAAUGCGUAGAUAUCGCUUGGAACGCCAAAGGUGAAAACAGGUAGCUGGGGCUGUGCUGACACUGAGACACGAAAGCCAGGGGAGCAAACGGG